UACGUAGGGUGCGAGCGUUGUCCGGAAUUACUGGGCGUAAAGAGCUCGUAGGCGGUUUGUCGCGUUGUUCGUGAAAUUCCCUGGCUUAACUGGGGGCGUGCGGGCGAUACGGGCAGACUGGAGUACUGCAGGGGAGACUGGAAUUCCUGGUGUAGCGGUGGAAUGCGCAGAUAUCAGGAGGAACACCGGUGGCGAAGGCGGGUCUCUGGGCAGUAACUGACGCUGAGGAGCGAAAGCGUGGGGAGCGAACAGG
rnacentral:rRNA from 1 species